rnacentral:rRNA from 1 species
UAACUGAGGAAAUUGAGUGGCGAAUGGGUGCGUAACACGUGGGAAUUUAUCCGGAAGUGGGGGUUAGCUCGUCGAAAGGCGAAUUAAUACCGCAUAUGCCUGUAAGGGCAAAGUGGGGGACCGCGAGGCCUCACGCUAUCGGAGGAGCCCGCGCCCUAUCAGCUAGUUGGUGAGGUAAUGGCUCACCAAGGCUUAGACGGGUAGCUGGUCUGAGAGGACGACCAGCCACACUGGAACUGAGACACGGUCCAGACACCUACGGGUGGCAGCAGUCGAGGAUUUUUCUCAAUGGGGGCAACCCUGAAGGAGCGACGCCGCGUGGAGGAUGAAGGGCUUCGGCUCGUAAACUCCUGUCGCCGACGAACAAGACAUCCGGAUUAAUAACUCGGAUGUUUGAUGGUAGUCGGAGAGGAAGGGGCGGCUAACUCUGUGCCAGCAGCCGCGGUGAUACAGAGGCCCCAAGCGUUGUUCGGAUUUACUGGGCGUAAAGGGUGUGUAGGGGGUUAGGUUAGUCUG